rnacentral:rRNA from 1 species
UACAGAGGGGGCAAGCGUUGUUCGGAAUUACUGGGCGUAAAGGGCGCGUAGGCGGCCUGUUAAGUCGAACGUGAAAUCCCUCGGCUUAACCGGGGAACUGCGUCUGAUACUGGAUGGCUUGAGUUCGGGAGAGGGAUGCGGAAUUCCAGGUGUAGCGGUGAAAUGCGUAGAUAUCUGGAGGAACACCGGUGGCGAAGGCGGCAUCCUGGACCGACACUGACGCUGAGGAGCGAAAGCCAGGGGAGCAAACGGG